CCUCCCCAGCCCUUGUUCAUCCAUUUCUCCUGCACCAAGCAGCCCGGAGGGCUUGUGCAAAGCAAAUUUGCUUUUAUUGCCACCCUCAAAUAAGCCUGAGCAUCCUCUGAGGCCCUGCUACCCCUGUCUCACAGCUGAGGAAGGGAAAAGGCCCCAUGGAGUGUGCAAUCAAAGCAGGGAAGGGAGCACACAUAGUCCUUAGCACUGCCCAGAGGCGAGCAGCACAGAGGAGAAGGUGGCGAUGAACACACCCCGCUAACGGUGUAAGCGUUACAUGCCAGGCAGCACGGCACCCUGCAAGCUGCAGGAUUUAAUCAAAAAGACGCUGUCAGCCCAAAUAGCAUCAGCGGGAGAGGCACCCGGGCUUGGCGUCGCGGUGGCGGCAGCAGCUGUGGAGAAGGUGUCAGGCUCGGCUCAGCACUCAGGACCCGAAAUGCUCCUGUUUCGAGGGCUCGUGGUGACAGCAAGGCCUGGGCAAAGCCGGCUCUGCUCACUCCUUGCAGCCUGGGCAUAGGAAGAUCAUCUGGAAAAGCUCCAGUGGCAGCAAAUCCUGUAGCAGCUGAGGUGUGCGCUGACACCACAGACCCAGACAGCACAGGUUCAGCUGUACAAAUGAGGUGCAUAACAUUUAAAGCUGGCUGCAGCCCUGGCAGUAUUAUAUCGAGGAAAAAUGAAAGCACGGGGGCGUGGAAGCUGUCGGUCAGAAGUGAGUGGCACUGUGCCUCAUUCAGCAGUGUUAAGAGUAAGAGGAAAGAAAAGGAGGUGGUGUGCCUCUGCUCUCAGACUCUGCGCACAUGUGCCCCUGUGCUGUCCUGAUGCAGGAUGGAGAGGGAAGGAGAUGCCUGUCUGGAACAGGGUGUCCAGCUGCAUCCCGCCAGUGCCAAGGUGCUUGCCCCUUCUGAAAGGCCAAGUUGCAUUUUUGAAUAAUUAAAAUGAAAUCUGCCAAACAGACCCCCAUUUUUUAUGUUUUCACCUCCCUCCACACCACUGCAUGUGUAUCAGAGUGUACUCAGUCCCACAGUGUUAAGCAGCUUGUGGGGAGCUCGGAGACCCUUUGACUUGGUUGGAGAAGCCCCUUUCUGCUGUGAGGGUGCUGGGCUGCCAGCCUGCCCAGCACAGGCACUGCACAGAGGGACAGGGAGGUUUGGGGUCUGGCCUCUGGCAGCCUGCUUGCAGGGCUCUUCCACCACACUCUGGACACCUUGUGGGUAUUGUUACAGAGUUGUACUCUGAGUGGAAGGAAAUAAAAUUAUAAAAAAAAAAGCCACUGAGCAUUGCCUCACCCCAUACUAAACAAGCAACAGAUGAAAAGCUGGGCCAUGUGGGUGAACACCUCUCAUGUGGAUGAGAGGUGAACAUCCCUGGGCUUGUGACCCCUGUUCAAUGGGCAGAAGGUAAGGGCUUGGUACCCUGAAAAAGGGGAUGCAGGCUAUGCAAACUGAGCUCCCCAGAUAUGUGGGUAUCCAUGUUUCCAUUCAUCCUUUUGCAUGGCAAUUGUGUGUGUGCAAAAUGGGGGCUCUGAUUUUACUAGGACAGAAAAGACUUCUCUUGGUACUUGUGAAGCAGUCUGACGAUGUAUUUACAAACACGAGAAGAAAGACAUGAGCGGGUGAACAGUUUAAUGCACAGAGCAGCUCUGUGAGCAUGCAGGCAGCAUGGAAUGGGGUGUAGGGCCACUAAUGAGAGCCUGAAGGUUGGUUUUCCCUGCUCUGUCAGCGGGUCAGGUCGGGCUGCCAGGGCUCUGCGGCAACCUGAAGGCCAGGGUUUGUGAGCAGUGCGGAGCUCGGCUUUGCAAGCUGCUCCUUCCACCCAGGUCCAACAUGCAUCAUUUAGAUCUGUGUCUGUAUUUUAUAAAAGGUCUGCUAAAAUGUGUUAUUGCAGAAAUAAAACUAAGCACUUAUACAUUUUUAAUCAGCCAUCGGGGAGAAAGCCCUUGCAUGCUUGUUGUGGUGUUUUCCUUCUGUUGGGCUGUUUGUAGCGAGAUGUCUUGGAGGGAAAUCUGUGAUUAAAUUACAUGACUGAGAUACCUUCAUUCAUGCUGAAAAGCCUCUCACUUAGCCAUGAGCGGAGCUGUCAAAGCCACUGAAAGCGAAGCACAAUUCACCGUGAAUAGGGGGCCUUGGAAACCAUAAAGAGCAAAUUAGAGCUAAAUAUUGAUUUACUCCACAUUAACUCCAACUCUGAGCAAAUCCAGCCUCCGAACCCUCCGUACACAGAGAUUUAAUGCUUAUGUGCCUGUUAUUCGGAAACACAAGACAGAAAACGGGCGCUUUCUUAGAAUACAGUUUUUAUUUUCGUUUUAUUUUCUGGAGCACAUCGCAUUUCGUGUUCUCCGUGCGAUUUUCCUGGCUGGGGCCUGGCUC
ensembl:lncRNA